GAUGAACGCUGGCGGCGUGCCUAAUACAUGCAAGUCGAGCGAACAGACGAGGAGCUUGCUCCUCUGACGUUAGCGGCGGACGGGUGAGUAACACGUGGAUAACCUACCUAUAAGACUGGGAUAACUUCGGGAAACCGGAGCUAAUACCGGAUAAUACAUCGAACCGCAUGGUUCAAUAGUGAAAGACGGUUUUGCUGGCACCUAUCGAUGGAUCCGCGCGGCAUUAGCUAGUUGGUAAGGGAACGGCUUACCAAGGCGACGAUGCGUAGCCGACCUGAGAGGGUGAUCGGCCACACUGGAACUGAGACACGGUCCAGACUCCUACGGGAGGCAGCAGUAGGGAAUCUUCCGCAAUGGGCGAAAGCCUGACGGAGCAACGCCGCGUGAGUGAUGAAGGUCUUCGGAUCGUAAAACUCUGUUAUUAGGGAAGAACAAAUGUGUAAGUAACUAUGCACGUCUUGACGGUACCUAAUCAGAAAGCCACGGCUAACUACGUG
rnacentral:rRNA from 1 species